GCCCACUUAACAACAGGCCCUUACUAAUAUGACUACUUAAACUAAAACAUAAAAGGCCAGCCCGUCUUCACCUCAUCCUUGUAUAGAUACUGACGACGUGUGACAGAUUCUUACCAACAGAAAUGACAACCAUCUAUGACAACUAAAACGACAGAAUACUGCAAUUUUUUAUUUGAAAACAAGUCACGUGACAAGAUUACUUCAGAUCACCUACUGAAAAGGGUUCUUAAUUUGUACUAACCAAGAGAAUCUAACUUGUCUUAAUGGUUAUUUUAAUAGUACAGAUAAAAUGGUAACUGUCACUCAAGCUCCUCGUCUAAAAAGCUGAGCAAUUU